ACCAUUCCUCCAUAGAUUACAUGGACAAUGUAAUCUAUGCAUGUACUUGGGAGAGACUGAGGCCAUGAACAUACAAGAUCUUUUGAGAACUACUAUUUUCAACUGCUUUGAUCCAUGCAUUUUGUCUUCCAAGACUUUAUUUAGUUCUGAAGCUUUAGCAACCGCAGGCCAAGGGAAUGAACUACUAAAAGAACUAGUGUAACAAGUCUUCUUCUCUCUUUCUUUAUCUCUUUUCUUGGAGAACACCUCGAAGCUUUACACCUGUCUCUUUGGUGGCAUAUGAUAUAAUAGCCCAUGAAACCCUAGGGCACCAUCUUUUUUGUAGAGGAGGGGAGGCACCUUAGGUUUCCUAAGUGGAUGAAACCCUAGAGUCUUGAUAAACUCUAAUUGAGAAAAAGGAUAAUGAAGAAGGGGGUGCUAACCCUUACUUGAGUGCUACCCUUACUAGUUGUUGCACUCCUUUCAUAAGUGCCUGGUCUGAAAGUUCAAAAGAAGGAAAGAAAUCAUCGGCCUAUUCCUUAAUUGCCCCCAACUUGGUUUUAUCCAAGUACUGCUAAUGGUCUAAUUUUGCUUGACCUGACCUAGCCUAAAUCCUCAUUCUAGGCCAUUUCUUUAGUUUAGUCUCCUCCAAUCAAAUCUGAAUCUUUCUAAAUCCAAUAUAUGAGACUAUAUUCAAUUAGAAUCUUAUUCUACUUGAUUUGUAGAUGAAUGACACGUGCUAGAUGCAUUAUUGGAAUAGGUCAACUCAUAUUCUUAGUCAU
rnacentral:lncRNA from 1 species